rnacentral:rRNA from 1 species
GACUCUCGACAAUGGAUAUCUUGGCUCUUGUCACGGUGAAGAAUGUAGAGAAAUGUGAUACUUAGUGUGAAUUUCAAAAUCCCAUGAAUCGUCGAGUUUUUUAACGCAAUUUGCACUCAAGGACUCGAUCGAGGGAACGUCUGUCUGGGCGCUG